rnacentral:rRNA from 1 species
UACGGAGGGUGCAAACGUUGCUCGGAAUUACUGGGCGUAAAGCGCAUGUAGGCGGCCUAUUGAGUCUUGUGUGAAAGCCCCGGGCUUAACCCUGGAAGUGCACAGGAUACUGAUAGGCUAGAGUACUGGAGAAGUGGGCGGAAUUCCCGGUGUAGAGGUGAAAUUCGUAGAUAUCGGGAGGAACACCUGUAGCGAAAGCGGUUCACUAGACAGAUACUGACGCUAAGAUGCGAGAGCGUGGGUAGCAAAC